rnacentral:rRNA from 1 species
UUAAAUUGAAGAGUUUGAUCAUGGCUCAGAUUGAACGCUGGCGGCAGGCCUAACACAUGCAAGUCGAGCGGUAACACAGAGAGCUUGCUCUCGGGUGACGAGCGGCGGACGGGUGAGUAAUGUCUGGGAAACUGCCUGAUGGAGGGGGAUAACUACUGGAAACGGUAGCUAAUACCGCAUAACGUCGCAAGACCAAAGAGGGGGACCUUCGGGCCUCUUGCCAUCAGAUGUGCCCAGAUGGGAUUAGCUAGUAGGUGGGGUAACGGCUCACCUAGGCGACGAUCCCUAGCUGGUCUGAGAGGAUGACCAGCCACACUGGAACUGAGACACGGUCCAGACUCCUACGGGAGGCAGCAGUGGGGAAUAUUGCACAAUGGGCGCAAGCCUGAUGCAGCCAUGCCGCGUGUAUGAAGAAGGCCUUCGGGUUGUAAAGUACUUUCAGCGGGGAGGAAGGUGUUGAGGUUAAUAACCUCAGCAAUUGACGUUACCCGCAGAAGAAGCACCGGCUAACUCCGUGCCAGCAGCCGCGGUAAUACGGAGGGUGCAAGCGUUAAUCGGAAUUACUGGGCGUAAAGCGCACGCAGGCGGUCUGUCAAGUCGGAUGUGAAAUCCCCGGGCUCAACCUGGGAACUGCAUUCGAAACUGGCAGGCUAGAGUCUUGUAGAGGGGGGUAGAAUUCCAGGUGUAGCGGUGAAAUGCGUAGAGAUCUGGAGGAAUACCGGUGGCGAAGGCGGCCCCCUGGACAAAGACUGACGCUCAGGUGCGAAAGCGUGGGGAGCAAACAGGAUUAGAUACCCUGGUAGUCCACGCCGUAAACGAUGUCGACUUGGAGGUUGUGCCCUUGAGGCGUGGCUUCCGGAGCUAACGCGUUAAGUCGACCGCCUGGGGAGUACGGCCGCAAGGUUAAAACUCAAAUGAAUUGACGGGGGCCCGCACAAGCGGUGGAGCAUGUGGUUUAAUUCGAUGCAACGCGAAGAACCUUACCUACUCUUGACAUCCAGAGAACUUAGCAGAGAUGCUUUGGUGCCUUCGGGAACUCUGAGACAGGUGCUGCAUGGCUGUCGUCAGCUCGUGUUGUGAAAUGUUGGGUUAAGUCCCGCAACGAGCGCAACCCUUAUCCUUUGUUGCCAGCGGUUAGGCCGGGAACUCAAAGGAGACUGCCAGUGAUAAACUGGAGGAAGGUGGGGAUGACGUCAAGUCAUCAUGGCCCUUACGAGUAGGGCUACACACGUGCUACAAUGGCGCAUACAAAGAGAAGCGACCUCGCGAGAGCAAGCGGACCUCAUAAAGUGCGUCGUAGUCCGGAUUGGAGUCUGCAACUCGACUCCAUGAAGUCGGAAUCGCUAGUAAUCGUGGAUCAGAAUGCCACGGUGAAUACGUUCCCGGGCCUUGUACACACCGCCCGUCACACCAUGGGAGUGGGUUGCAAAAGAAGUAGGUAGCUUAACCUUCGGGAGGGCGCUUACCACUUUGUGAUUCAUGACUGGGGUGAAGUCGUAACAAGGUAACCGUAGGGGAACCUGCGGUUGGAUCACCUCCUUACCUUAAAGAA